rnacentral:rRNA from 3 species
UUCAUGGAGAGUUUGAUCCUGGCUCAGGACGAACGCUGGCGGCGUGCUUAACACAUGCAAGUCGAACGGAAAG